rnacentral:rRNA from 1 species
GUCCACCCGUAACGUUGGACUAGUUGUGGGACCAUUCCACGGUUUCCGUGACGCAGCUAACGCAUUAAGUUCCCCGCCUGGGGAGUACGGCCGCAAGGCUAAAACUCAAAGGAAUUGACGGGGACCCGCACAAGCGGCGGAGCAUGCGGAUUAAUUCGAUGCAACGCGAAGAACCUUACCAAGGCUUGACAUAUACGAGAACGGGCCAGAAAUGGUCAACUCUUUGGACACUCGUAAACAGGUGGUGCAUGGUUGUCAU